rnacentral:rRNA from 1 species
UACGUAGGGUGCGAGCGUUGUCCGGAAUUAUUGGGCGUAAAGAGCUUGUAGGCGGUUUGUCGCGUCUGCUGUGAAAAUCCGGGGCUCAACCCCGGACUUGCAGUGGGUACGGGCAGACUAGUGUGUGGUAGGGGAGACUGGAAUUCCUGGUGUAGCGGUGAAAUGCGCAGAUAUCAGGAGGAACACCGAUGGCGAAGGCAGGUCUCUGGGCCACUACUGACGCUGAGAAGCGAAAGCAUGGGGAGCGAACAGGAUUAGAUA